rnacentral:rRNA from 2 species
CAACAGGGAUUGCCCUAGUAACGGCGAGUGAAGCGGCAACAGCUCAAAUUUGAAAUCUGGCCCUAGCGGUCCGAGUUGUAAUUUGUAGAGGAUGCUUUUGGUUAGGUGCCUUCCGAGUUCCCUGGAACGGGACGCCAGAGAGGGUGAGAGCCCCGUACGGUUGGACACCGAGCCUCUAUAUAGCUCCUUCGACGAGUCGAGUAGUUUGGGAAUGCUGCUCUAAAUGGGAGGUAAAUUUCUUCUAAAGCUAAAUACCGGCCAGAGACCGAUAGCGCACAAGUAGAGUGAUCGAAAGAUGAAAAGUACUUUGAAAAGAGGGUUAAAUAGCACGUGAAAUUGUUGAAAGGGAAGCGUUUGCGACCAGACUUUUUCCAGGCGGAUCAUCCGGUGUUCUCACCGGUGCACUUCGCCUGGUUUAGGCCAGCAUCGGUUCUCUUAGGGGGAUAAAGGCUUGGGGAACGUGGCUCCCUCGGGAGUGUUAUAGCCCCUUGCGUAAUACCCUUCGGGGGACCGAGGAACGCGCAUCUGCAAGGAUGCUGGCGUAAUGGUCGUCAACGA